rnacentral:misc_RNA from 1 species
GAAAUGCGAUAAGUAAUGUGAAUUGCAGAAUUCAGUGAAUCAUCGAAUCUUUGAACGCACAUUGCGCCCGCCAGUAUUCUGGCGGGCAUGCCUGUUUGAGCGUCAUUUCAACCAUCAAGCCCCCGGCUUGUGUUGGGGACCUGCGGCUGCCCGCAGGCCCUGAAAAACAGUGGCGGGCUCGCUGUCACACCGAGCGUAGUAGCAUACAUUCUCGCUCAGGGCGUGCUGCGGGUUCCGGCCGUUAAACGACCUUCAUAACCCAAGGUUGACCUCGGAUCAGGUAGGAAGACCCGCUGAACUUAAGC